UACGAAGGGGGCUAGCGUUGCUCGGAAUCACUGGGCGUAAAGGGUGCGUAGGCGGGUCUUUAAGUCAGAGGUGAAAUCCUGGAGCUCAACUCCAGAACUGCCUUUGAUACUGAGGGUCUUGAGUAUGGGAGAGGUGAGUGGAACUGCGAGUGUAGAGGUGAAAUUCGUAGAUAUCUGGAGGAACACCGGUGGCGAAGGCGGCAUCCUGGACCAAUAUUUGACGCUGGGGAGCGAAAGCCAGGGGAGCAAACGGG
rnacentral:rRNA from 1 species